rnacentral:rRNA from 1 species
UGGGGAAUAUUGCACAAUGGAGGAAACUCUGAUGCAGCGACGCCGCGUGAGUGAAGAAGGCCUUCGGGUCGUAAAGCUCUGUCCUAGGGGAAGAUAAUGACGGUACCCUAGGAGGAAGCCCCGGCUAACUACGUGCCAGCAGCCGCGGUAAUACGUAGGGGGCGAGCGUUGUCCGGAAUUACUGGGCGUAAAGAGUUCGUAGGCGGUCUGAUAAGUCAGAUGUGAAAGGCGUAGGCUUAACCUAUGUAAGCAUAUGAAACUGUCAGACUUGAGGUAAGGAGAGGAAAGUGGAAUUCCUAGUGUAGCGGUGAGAUGCGUAGAUAUUAGGAGGAAUACCAGUGGCGAAGGCGACUUUCUGGACUUAAACUGACGCUGAGGAACGAAAGCGUGGGGAGCAAACA